GAUGAACGCUGGCGGCGUGCCUAAUACAUGCAAGUCGAGCGAACAGACGAGGAGCUUGCUCCUCUGAUGUUAGCGGCGGACGGGUGAGUAACACGUGGAUAACCUACCUAUAAGACUGGGAUAACUUCGGGAAACCGGAGCUAAUACCGGAUAACAUGUUGAACCGCAUGGUUCAACAGUGAAAGACGGUUUUGCUGUCACUUAUAGAUGGAUCCUCGCCGCAUUAGCUAGUUGGUAAGGUAACGGCUUACCAAGGCAACGAUGCGUAGCCGACCUGAGAGGGUGAUCGGCCACCCUGGAACUGAGACACGGUCCAGACUCCUACGGGAGGCAGCAGUAGGGAAUCUUCCGCAAUGGGCGAAAGCCUGACGGAGCAACGCCGCGUGAGUGAAGAAGGUCUUCGGAUCGUAAAACUCUGUUAUUAGGGAAGAACAAAUGUGUAAGUAACUAUGCACGUCUUGACGGUACCUAAUCAGAAGGCAACGGCUAACUACGUG
rnacentral:rRNA from 1 species